rnacentral:lncRNA from 1 species
GACCUGGGGCAGGUCAUUUAUGGAUCAUUCUGCUAAUGAAUAGUCAUAGGAAGCUGGGAGUGAGAUUCUGGUGGUUUAAAGGCUUGGGCAGGUCUUUCUUGCCUGGGUUUCAUACCCAAAUCCAGGCUGGAGGGCCCCUCACCCCAACAAAGACGGUUAGGUGAGUGGUAAAAACGUGAGUGGCUCACAAAGGCUCAGGAGCCCUGAAUGAAGCUCCUCUUGCCUUGUUCUCCCUGGCCCACCCCCUGCCUCACUGCAGGGCCCACUCCCAGCUAAUUUGGCUGUCACCUGCCCCAGGCUCACCCCUGGCACUCCCACAGCCCUACGGGAUCUUGUUCUGGGAGUAAGUGAGGCUCUUCUCCCCUAGAGCUAAUCCCUCCACGAAGCUCCCAGCCAGGCCCUCCCCCGGGCCGCCUAGGUGAGCAGAAACAAGUCUGACCAGUUGCCGUCACCAGGACAGGCGCAGCUUUCUGCUUCAGCCAGACACCCUGAGAAAGUGGGGAGGGUGAAAUCUCAGGACAGGCAGGGGGCAGCUCUAGUGACCUCCUCCAACCUCCCCCCACCGCCCCUGCGCUCCCAAAAACCUUCCCAUAACAACCUGGCUGGGGCUUGUCAGCUGUUUUUGAGAUGGGGAAACUGAGGCUCAGAGAUGUGGAGCCCACUGCCUGACAUCACACAGCCAGAACUCCAACCCUGGUCUCUGACUUGGAACCUGUCCUCCUUCCACCACACUGCAGGGUGCUCCUUAAGGAUCCAAGUCCAGAAUGGGGCAACCCAUUGGGAGGUGAGGUCCCAACAGGAGUCAGGCAGCGGAGGGCAGACAGGGGCUCUCUCCAGGGCAUCGGCUGCAGCCUCUGCUGGAGGUGGGCUGGGAGCUGAAGAAACCACAACCUACCACAGCCUUCCUUCCGGGCGCUCAGGGCCUCUCGCAGCUGGAGCUGCAGUCUGAGCUGGGGGAUGAAGCCUGGUGUGGGUGACAGGGCAGGGGCAUGGCUGGACUGGGGGCAGGUGGCUCUGGGCGCCCCCCCCUCCCCCCGGCUGGCAGGGCAGGGCUGUGCUAGCUGACUUUGGGAUGCCCAUCCUCUGGCCCUGGUCUCUGUGCUGUGGGCUUCCCUUACUGAUCUUCAGCCCAGUGCCCCUCGCCUAGUGACAUAUGGUGCCAAAGCUCCAGGGCCUGCUUUGAGCCUUGCUCCGCUCUGCCAGCACCAAGUCGUGCAGUUCAAGGGGAAACGGGGUACCCAGC